rnacentral:rRNA from 1 species
UGGCUCAGGACGAACGCUGGCGGCGUGCUUAACACAUGCAAGUCGAACGAUGAAGCCUUUCGGGGUGGAUUAGUGGCGAACGGGUGAGUAACACGUGGGCAAUCUGCCCUGCACUCUGGGACAAGCCCUGGAAACGGGGUCUAAUACCGGAUACGACACAUCACUGCAUGGUGAAUGUGUGGAAAGCUCCGGCGGUGCAGGAUGAGCCCGCGGCCUAUCAGCUUGUUGGUGGGGUAAUGGCCUACCAAGGCGACGACGGGUAGCCGGCCUGAGAGGGCGACCGGCCACACUGGGACUGAGACACGGCCCAGACUCCUACGGGAGGCAGCAGUGGGGAAUAUUGCACAAUGGGCGAAAGCCUGAUGCAGCGACGCCGCGUGAGGGAUGACGGCCUUCGGGUUGUAAACCUCUUUCAGCAGGGAAGAAGCGCAAGUGACGGUACCUGCAGAAGAAGCACCGGCUAACUACGUGCCAGCAGCCGCGGUAAUACGUAGGGUGCGAGCGUUGUCCGGAAUUAUUGGGCGUAAAGAGCUCGUAGGCGGCGUGUCGCGUCGGAUGUGAAAGCCCGGGGCUUAACCCCGGGUCUGCAUUCGAUACGGGCAGGCUAGAGUUCGGUAGGGGAGAUCGGAAUUCCUGGUGUAGCGGUGAAAUGCGCAGAUAUCAGGAGGAACACCGGUGGCGAAGGCGGAUCUCUGGGCCGAUACUGACGCUGAGGAGCGAAAGCGUGGGGAGCGAACAGGAUUAGAUACCCUGGUAGUCCACGCCGUAAACGUUGGGAACUAGGUGUGGGCGACAUUCCACGUCGUCCGUGCCGCAGCUAACGCAUUAAGUUCCCCGCCUGGGGAGUACGGCCGCAAGGCUAAAACUCAAAGGAAUUGACGGGGGCCCRCACAAGCGGCGGARCAUGUGGCUUAAUUCGACGCARCGCGAAGAACCUUACCAAGGCUUGACAUACACCGGAAACAUCCAGAGAUGGGUGCCCCCUUGUGGUCGGUGUACAGGUGGUGCAUGGCUGUCGUCAGCUCGUGUCGUGAGA